AUACACAGCCAUGUCACCCUGCAGCCCAAAUACUCUACUCACUGAAGCUAAGCAGGGCUGAGCGUGGUCAGUACCUGGAUGGAAGACCACAUGGGAAAACUAGGUUGUUGUUGGAA
rfam:Danio rerio chromosome 24, GRCz11 reference primary assembly.